rnacentral:lncRNA from 1 species
UGGGGGGUGGGGCUGGCCAACUUCGUCCGCCGGACUCGGAAUGCCGCGAGACUUUGCGAGGGGCCUCCGUGUGCCAAAAAUAGGCCGCGGUCAAAGACGCGCCCAAAAAUAACCGCCCGAAGGCCGGGGAGCCAAGUUCGUCCAGCGGAAAAAGGCCACAAAAACGGGUGGGCUAUAGCCUUGGGGGGUGGGGCUGGCC